rnacentral:rRNA from 1 species
UACAGAGGUCCCAAGCGUUGUUCGGAUUUACUGGGCGUAAAGGGUGCGUAGGCGGGUCUUUAAGUCAGGGGUGAAAUCCUGGAGCUCAACUCCAGAACUGCCUUUGAUACUGAAGAUCUUGAGUUCGGGAGAGGUGAGUGGAACUGCGAGUGUAGAGGUGAAAUUCGUAGAUAUUCGCAAGAACACCAGUGGCGAAGGCGGCUCACUGGCCCGAUACUGACGCUGAGGCACGAAAGCGUGGGGAGCGAACAGG